GAGGUUGUGGCUCAGAGGUAGAGGGCUCCCCUAGCAUGUGUGAGGGUGCUGGGUUUGAUCCUCAGCACCUCA
rnacentral:tRNA from 1 species